AGCUUCCUGGAUCAUCUCCUGCUCAGUAGAAACACGUUUGGGCCCUGAAGGUUUCUCCUGAGUCGUUAAGUUUAUUGAAGUCACCUUGGCCUCUCCAGACGUGUGGAGUUGUUUUCUGUGGACGAGAAUGAAGAAGAUUAUGCUGCUGCUGUUUGUUCGGAUACUUUUGACUCUGACAUUAUUUCAUGGGAAAAGUUUGAAGGUCUCAAAGAUGUUGACAACAGAGGAGCAACCUCCUGAAACGUGACGUCAAACUUCUGUGACGCUUCAUAACGUCUUGAAGCCUGAAGAUGGGAGUUCACUGUUCAGGGGACGAAGCUGCAGCGUCUUCGAGCUUCACUUCAGAUACCUGCAGUUAAGGUCAUGGACCAGUCGCUCUACAAUAAAGCAUCACCACGACACGCAAAGUUACAGAUCUCGUCUGGUGACGCAGGAUUUCAUGGAUUUUAAACUGUUCAGUUUAUCAGUCGAUGAUGAAA